CCUCUCUCAGGGUCGCACCUGGAGAGUUUCCAGUACUCCACAAGUGUCGACUAUGGGAGGGAGAGUCAAGCAGAGGUCUACCCAUUCCAUUCUUAGCUUGGGCAAUGGCUAGCGAGUGGAAGGCAAUCUGCUACUUGU
rnacentral:snoRNA from 2 species